rnacentral:rRNA from 1 species
GAUGAACGCUGGCGGCGUGCCUAAUACAUGCAAGUCGAGCGAACAGAUAAGGAGCUUGCUCCUUUGACGUUAGCGGCGGACGGGUGAGUAACACGUGGGUAACCUACCUAUAAGACUGGGAUAACUUCGGGAAACCGGAGCUAAUACCGGAUAAUAUUUCGAACCGCAUGGUUCGAUAGUGAAAGAUGGUUUUGCUAUCACUUAUAGAUGGACCCGCGCCGUAUUAGCUAGUUGGUAAGGUAACGGCUUACCAAGGCGACGAUACGUAGCCGACCUGAGAGGGUGAUCGGCCAAACUGGAACUGAGACACGGUCCAGACUCCUACGGGAGGCAGCAGUAGGGAAUCUUCCGCAAUGGGCGAAAGCCUGACGGAGCAACGCCGCGUGAGUGAUGAAGGUCUUCGGAUCGUAAAACUCUGUUAUUAGGGAAGAACAUACGUGUAAGUAACUGUGCACGUCUUGACGGUACCUAAUCAGAAAGCCACGGCUAACUACGU